UACGUAGGUGGCAAGCGUUGUCCGGAUUUACUGGGCGUAAAGGGAGCGUAGGCGGAUACUUAAGUGGGAUGUGAAAUACCUGGGCUUAACUUGGGUGCUGCAUUCCAAACUGGGUGUCUAGAGUGUUGGAGAGGAAAGUGGAAUUCCUAGUGUAGCGGUGAAAUGCGUAGAGAUUAGGAAGAACACCAGUGGCGAAGGCGACUUUCUGGACAAUAACUGACGCUGAGGCACGAAAGCGUGGGGAGCAAACAGGAUUAGAUACCCUGGUAGUCCACGCCGUAAACGAUGGGUACUAGGUGUAGGAGGUAUAGACUCCUCAUGUGCCGCCGUUAACACAAUAAGUACCCCGCCUGGGGAGUACGGUCGCAAGAUUAAA
rnacentral:rRNA from 1 species